rnacentral:lncRNA from 1 species
GCUCACGAGUGUCUUUAGACAUGAGAGCAACAUCAUUUUAGAGCAGAGAUGUAGGGGCUUUGCCGGUUGAUUUCCUCAUUCUGUCAUUGUUUUCUCUGAAAAUUUGGUUAGCUUGAAUAGGGUGAAGGGGAGAAGCAAAGAAGAAGGGAGAUAUAUAAUUGUGAAGCUGAUGGAAGGGGAACAGAUUCAUGUCGUUUGGGUUAUGAUAAGCACAUGAACUUUGUGAGACUUAGAUGUGGAGGCGAAGGAGAAUCAGAAGUGGUGUAACACCGUGCUUUGGAAGAAGACGAAACGGAGAGGUCCGCGUCAAUUUUGUGUUGUGUGAAUGAACGAAUGAGGUGGCAAAAAGAACCCACCCCAUUGGAUGAUUUUAAUUGCUGACGCGGA